AAGUGAGUGCAGAGGAGGAGAGUGGAAUUCCACGUGUAGCGGUGAAAUGCGUAGAGAUGUGGAGGAACACCAGUGGCGAAGGCGACUCUCUGGUCUGUAGCUGACGCUGAGGAGCGAAAGCGUGGGGAGCGAACAGGAUUAGAUACCCUGGUAGUCCACGCCGUAAACGAUGAGUGCUAAGUGUUAGGGGGUUUCCGCCCCUUAGUGCUGCAGCUAACGCAUUAAGCACUCCGCCUGGGGAGUACGGUCGCAAGACUGAAACUCAAAGGAAUUGACGGGGGCCCGCACAAGCGGUGGAGCAUGUGGUUUAAUUCGAAGCAACGCGAAGAACCUUACCAGGUCUUGACAUCCUCUGACAAUCCUAGAGAUAGGACGUCCCCUUCGGGGGCAGA
rnacentral:rRNA from 1 species